rnacentral:tRNA from 1 species
GGUGAUAAGUUUUUCGCUUACAAUGAAGAAAUCCCUUUAGGGCACCUCUAUAGGUUUAAAAUUAAAUC